CAUUUAAACUAGUCUAAAAAUGUGAAUGCUUCCAAACUGGGGUUCUAAUGGAAUAUACUACUAUUAGCAUUGAAGCCCAUCUUUUUUGCUUGUAUUGAAUUAUAUUUCUAAAGCUAAAUUUUUGUCAAAGGCUGUGCACACAUUUAUGGCUUUUGCUCUGUACUGCUUUCCAAAAGGAUUACACCAGUUUUAAUACAUCAAAGAAUUAUUCAAACUUUGUUGGCAGGAUUUAGAAAAAUUUUGCUACCUCAGUAGUCAUAAAAUGGUAUUUCAAAUCUGGUUUAAUUUGUACAUUUUGCAUCCUGGUAAGCAUAUUUACUUAUGUACUUAAUUUAUAUUUUUCCAUUCAUUUUGCAAUUAUAUUGCACAUCUGAGUACAUCACUAUUCUAGGGGCUGGACAAGCUAACAAUAGUUAGACAAAAAUCUAAUCAUGGAAAUGGUUGAUACAGCUCUAUUGAAACUACAGUGUAUUAGGUACUAUAUUAAACCAGCAUAAGCUUUUCACACUAACACUGGCAAAUCUUUGGGGUACUUGGCCUUUCUAGGAUAAGAAGCUGGUACAGUCAUGUGAAAGAUAAGCAUGGUGUACCUUCUGCUUAUUUAUUUACUAUUAGCAAUAGUGAGGCGAUUUAUUUAAAGAUUUGGAGUGAGAAAGUAAAUCAGUACAUAAUUAAAACUCAUUUUUAUAGUUACAAAUGAGUUUUUAAAACUAAGACAGUUUUCAAGGAAAUUUCCAGCACUCGUCCCCAGCCUUCGCCCGUGUGGUAUUUUUCCCUAUACUUCCGUGGAAAGACUUGGGAAGCAUUUACAGACUAUUCAAAACGAACUCCUGGGGUGCUGAGGAGUACAUGUGUGACAAUGUUCCUUGUGUUUUCAGCUUUUGGUGAUUACAAAUAAAGCCACUGUAAACAUCUGUUUUCCAAAGUGGCUGUUUCAUUUGCGUUCCUAUCAGCAAUGUAUGAAAGUUAUAUUUGCUCGGCCUCUUCAUUUCCACCAACACUAGUACAGCAUUCCCCCUCCCAUUCUAACAGCUGUUCAAUGGUACCUCCUGAGCUUUUACUUUGCAUUUCUCUAAUGAUUAAUGAUGUGGAGCACCUCUCCAUGCUACUUAUUUGCCAUUUGUAUAUCUUUUUUGGUGAAGUGUCUGCCCUAAUUUCCCAUUUUUUAUUGCUUUUCUCAUUAUUGAGUUUUGAGAAGUAAAUUUAUUAA
ensembl:lncRNA